GGCAAUUGAGACACAGGGCAAUUGAAACAAAAAUUGUUUAAUGAAUUAAUUUUUUUUAAAUAAAAAAAAAAUUAAUUUCCCUCAGGGAAAAAGUAUCCUUUACACCUGCUUCGAGAAAGUUUUCAUUCAAGUUUUUUCUUCAUUUUAAUAAUUUCGGCAUUAGUGAAGUGAAAGCCGGCAAUAUUUUAACAGACUACCUUUUUCUUCAACAAACAAACUGUGAUGUUCAUUUUUGUUUCCCGUUGGGGAAGAAGAUCGGUGGUCACAUUUCCAUUAUUGCAGCUACUAGCCCUGUUUUUGCGGCCAUGUUCAGGCAUAACAUGAAAGAAUCAAAGACUGGUGAAGUCGUCAUCAAAGACAUCGAAAGAGACAUUUUCUAUGAGUUGCUUCACUACAUUUACUCGGGUCGGACAUCCGUGGCGAUGACUGAAGCCAUUGCUCAAUCAUUGAUAGCAGCAGCUGAAAAGUACAAUAUUCCUGAUCUGAAAAAUAAAUGUGCAGAAUUUCUAUUGGCACGAGUGACGGAUUCCACAGCUCAGAUAAUCUUUGAGGUAGCCGAUCGAUAUCACAUCCAGGAGCUGAAGGAGGAGUGUAUUCAAAUUCUCAUGUCACGCAUUGAAAUAAAGAAUGUCAUUCCGUUGAUUAUCUGGGCGAAUGAGAAACAUGCAAAACAAGUUAAAAGAGCAGCACUUAAUUUCAUAAAGAAAAAUUUCCAAGCCGUUUGUCAAUCUAAAGACUACGAAAACAUGAUGUUCCAGUUUCCUGAUCUCUGUUUGGAAGCAACGAGGUGCACGUACCGUUGAUGCCUUUCAAAAUCACCCUAAGCUUCUUUCCUCAUCAAGAUGCCGCAAAAGUUUUAUCGGGGAAGUCGAUUGUCUCCAGUUUCCUCCACUUGUAUUUCGUUUCUUUUUCUCAAAUGUUGUUGCACUGUAACGAAGAAAAUACUUUUAAAUCA